GACAGAGGGUGCAAACGUUGUCCGGAAUUACUGGGCGUAAAGCGCGUGUAGGCGGCCAUCUAAGUCGGGCGUGAAAUCCCACGGCUCAACCGUGGAAGUGCACUCGAAACUGGAUGGCUAGAGUCCUGGAGAGGAAGGUGGAAUGCUUGGUGUAGAGGUGAAAUUCGUAGAUAUCAAGCGGAACACCGGUGGCGAAGGCGGCCUUCUGGACAGUGACUGACGCUGAGACGCGAAAGCGUGGGGAGCAAACAGG
rnacentral:rRNA from 1 species